GUUGCUUCAUGGCCUUUUGGCUAAGUUCAAGUGUAGUAUCUGUCCUUAUCAGUUUAAUAUCUGAUACAUCCUCUAUCUGAGGACAAUACAUUAAAUGGAUUUUUGGAGCAGGGAGACAGAAUAAGAACUAGUUUCCUCCACUCCAUGCAUCAACCUUGUAUUGCAGUACCUCCAGAAAUGGUGCACCCCUC
ensembl:snRNA U2 U2 spliceosomal RNA